rnacentral:rRNA from 1 species
UACGUAGGGGGCAAGCGUUGUCCGGAUUUAUUGGGCGUAAAGAGCGUGUAGGCGGCCAGACAGGUCAGCUGUGAAAACUCGAGGCGUCAACCUCGAGACGUCGGUUGAAACCGUCUGGCUAGAGUCCGGAAGAGGAGAGUGGAAUUCCCGGUGUAGCGGUGAAAUGCGCAGAUAGUCGGGAGGAACACCGGGUGGCGAAGGCG